rnacentral:rRNA from 1 species
UACGAAGGGGGCUAGCGUUGUUCGGAAUCACUGGGCGUAAAGCGCACGUAGGCGGCGCGUUAAGUCAGGGGUGAAAUCCUGGAGCUCAACUCCAGAACUGCCUUUGAUACUGGCGCGUUCGAGUGUGGGAGAGGUUGGUGGAACUCCGAGUGUAGAGGUGAAAGUCGUAGAUAUUCGGAAGAACACCAGUGGCGAAGGCGGCCAACUGGCCCAUUACUGACGCUGAGGUGCGAAAGCGUGGGGAGCAAACAGG